rnacentral:tRNA from 1 species
CAAAAUAUAGCUUAAUAAAAGCCCCUCGCUUACACCGAGAGAAUGCCUGUUUAACCCAGACUAUUUUGA